CCUUCCCCUCCCCAUCUAGAGUUGAAGUGGGAGUGGUUGCAAGACAGCUGCCCCCAGGAGAGGAGUUGCCAGGCCUUCUGCAGCACUUCUUCCCUCCAAUACAACCGCCACACAAAUACUAUCAACUACAGGAAUACAUCCCCUCUUCCCUAGUUCUACAUUCUCCUCCCUGUCUGGGAGAGUUCCAGCCUCAAGAACCCUUUUCCAGCAGAAGGGCCUUGCCUGUUUGGCUUUCCCAGACUGCAGCUGACCACAACCCUGGUUUCCCCCCCCCAGGCACCAUGCUGGGCCUGUAGCAAUAUCUACCCCACUGAGGUCAGCUGCACCCCCACUGCUGGGGUGCAGGUUCCAAUGAGAGGGCACACCAAGCUCCAUCGGGUAAGAAGCGUGCCUUUAGCACCUGGCUUCCUCCAAGCGAAAUGAGGACAGGAGGGGAGCGGGCUGCUGUGGGGGCCCUGAACUGGCCUUGUGCAGCCGACCGUCUGCCUGCUCGGUAAAACCUCAUCAGCGGGGUCUGGUCUUUGGCGGUCCUGAGAGUUUGUGAGUGCACGGCUGGCCUCUUAGACGCGUCUCGCGUGGCUGGGGCACUGCGCGGAGGGGGUCCUCGGCCUCAAGCCCAGAGAGAGUUAAGUGGGUAUGAUUGAUGGAGUG
rnacentral:lncRNA from 1 species